rnacentral:rRNA from 1 species
UACGUAGGGGGCGAGCGUUGUCCGAAGUUACUGGGCGUAAAGCGCGCGUAGGCGGGUUGGCAAGUCUGCUGUGAAAGCCCGGGGCUUAACUCCGGAGGGUCGGUGGAUACUGCCAGUCUUGAAGGUGCUAGGGAGAGAUGGAAUUACCGGUGUAGCGGUGAAAUUCGUAGAUAUUGGGAAGAACACCGGUGGCGAAGGCGGCUCACUGGCUCGUAACUGACGCUCAUGCACGACAGCGUGGGGAUCAAACAGG